UCUGUCUAACAAGCCCACUUACAUCUGGUACAAGAACGGACAGCGUGUUACUAACCGGGACAGAAAUGAACUGUAUGUCAGU